CCUGAAUACAUAGGGUAAGGAAGACAGACCCAGGGAACUGAAACAUCUAAGUACCUGGAGGAAGAGAAAGCAAAUGCGAUUUCCUGAGUAGCGGCGAGCGAAACGGAACAUAGCCCAAACCAAGAGGCUUGCCUCUUGGGGUUGUAGGACAUUCUAUACGGAGUUACAAAGGAACGAGGUAGACGAAGCGACCUGGAAAGGUCCGUCGUAGAGGGUAACAACCCCGUAGUCGAAACUUCGUUCUCUCUUGAAUGUAUCCUGAGUACGGCGGAACACGUGAAAUUCCGUCGGAAUCUGGGAGGACCAUCUCCCAAGGCUAAAUACUCCCUAGUGAUCGAUAGUGAACCAGUACCGUGAGGGAAAGGUGAAAAGCACCCCGGAAGGGGAGUGAAAGAGAUCCUGAAACCGUGUGCCUACAAAUAGUCAGAGCCCGUUAAUGGGUGAUGGCGUGCCUUUUGUAGAAUGAACCGGCGAGUUACGAUCCCGUGCGAGGUUAAGCUGAAGAGGCGGAGCCGCAGCGAAAGCGAGUCUGAAUAGGGCGUUUAGUACGUGGUCGUAGACCCGAAACCAGGUGAUCUACCCAUGUCCAGGGUGAAGUUCAGGUAACACUGAAUGGAGGCCCGAACCCACGCACGUUGAAAAGUGCGGGGAUGAGGUGUGGGUAGCGGAGAAAUUCCAAUCGAACCUGGAGAUAGCUGGUUCUCCCCGAAAUAGCUUUAGGGCUAGCCUUAAGUGUAAGAGUCUUGGAGGUAGAGCACUGAUUGAACUAGGGGUCCUCAUCGGAUUACCGAAUUCAGUCAAACUCCGAAUGCCAAUGACUUAUCCUUAGGAGUCAGACUGCGAGUGAUAAGAUCCGUAGUCAAGAGGGAAACAGCCCAGAUCGCCAGCUAAGGUCCCAAAGUGUGUAUUAAGUGGAAAAGGAUGUGGAGUUGCUUAGACAACUAGGAUGUUGGCUUAGAAGCAGCCACCAUUUAAAGAGUGCGUAAUAGCUCACUAGUCGAGUGACUCUGCGCCGAAAAUGUACCGGGGCUAAAUACACCACCGAAGCUGCGAAUUGAUACCAAUGGUAUCAGUGGUAGGGGAGCGUUCUAAGUGCAGUGAAGUCAGACCGGAAGGACUGGUGGAGCGCUUAGAAGUGAGAAUGCCGGUAUGAGUAGCGAAAGACGGG
rnacentral:rRNA from 1 species